rnacentral:lncRNA from 10 species
AGACAGGUACUGCGCCCAGGGCUGAAAAGGGAGCUGUCUGCGUUCUUCCCUGCUUUUUCAGGAGCUCACGGAAGAGGCCAUGCUACCCACCAGGGGCAAACACCAAAGAAGAGAAAGGGGUCUUUGAAGAUGACAGGAAGGUAGUCCAUUCCAACCCUAAAUGAUGAACUCUGUGAGGCUCAGUUUCCUCUUCUGUAAACUGCAGACAAUCCUCAUAGCAUCCCUGUGAAAAUGGAAAAGCUAAGAUGUCCAGUGUGCUUGGCACAGUUGCUAACAUGUCAUAAACACCCCAA